rnacentral:rRNA from 1 species
CACUCCUACGGGAGGCAGCAGUGGGGAAUUUUGGACAAUGGGCGCAAGCCUGAUCCAGCCAUGCCGCGUGCGGGAAGAAGGCCUUCGGGUUGUAAACCGCUUUUGUCAGGGAAGAAAAGGUUCUGGCUAAUACCUGGGACUCAUGACGGUACCUGAAGAAUAAGCACCGGCUAACUACGUGCCAGCAGCCGCGGUAAUACGUAGGGUGCAAGCGUUAAUCGGAAUUACUGGGCGUAAAGCGUGCGCAGGCGGUUAUGCAAGACAGAGGUGAAAUCCCCGGGCUCAACCUGGGAACUGCCUUUGUGACUGCAUGGCUAGAGUACGGUAGAGGGGGAUGGAAUUCCGCGUGUAGCAGUGAAAUGCGUAGAUAUGCGGAGGAACACCGAUGGCGAAGGCAAUCCCCUGGACCUGUACUGACGCUCAUGCACGAAAGCGUGGGGAGCAAACAGGAUUAGAAACCCCAGUAGUCCCAUGA